GCAUAUCAAUAAGCGGAGGAAAAGAAACCAACAGGGAUUGCCCUAGUAACGGCGAGUGAAGCGGCAACAGCUCAAAUUUGAAAUCUGGCGCUUGCGUCCGAGUUGUAAUUUGCAGAGGAUGCUUCUUGCGCGGUGCCUUCCGAGUUCCCUGGAACGGGACGCCAUAGAGGGUGAGAGCCCCGUACGGUUGGACACCAAGCUAUUGUGUAGCACCUUCGACGAGUCGAGUAGUUUGGGAAUGCUGCUCUAAAUGGGAGGUAAACUCCUUCUAAAGCUAAAUAUUGGCCAGAGACCGAUAGCGCACAAGUAGAGUGAUCGAAAGAUGAAAAGCACUUUGAAAAGAGAGUCAAAUAGCACGUGAAAUUGUUGAAAGGGAAGCGCUUAUGACCAGACUUGGGCUUGGUAGUUCAGCCGUCCUUUUGGGCGGUGCACUCUGCCGGUUCAGGCCAGCAUCAGUUGUCGGUUGGGGAGAAAGAUGGCGGGAAUGUGGCUCCUCGGAGUGUUAUAGCCCGCCAUUAUGCCUUUCCGGCGACUGAGGUUAGCGUUCUUCACGGAUGCUGGCGUAAUGGUCAUCAGCGACCCGUCUUGAAACACGGACCAAGGAGUCAUCCUAAUAUGCGAGUGUUUGGGUGUUAAACCCCUACGCGAAAUGAAAGUGAACGGAGGUGAGAGCUUCGGCGCAUCAUCGACCGAUCCUGAUGUUCUCGGAUGGAUUUGAGUAAGAGCAUAUUGGGCUGGACCCGAAAGAAGGUGAACUAUGCUUGGAUAGGGCAAAGCCAGAGGAAACUCUGGUGGAGGCUCGCAGCGGUUCUGACGUGCAAAUCGAUCGUCAAAUCUGAGCAU
rnacentral:rRNA from 1 species